CGCGUAGGCGGCGGCAUAAGUCAGAAGUGAAAGUUGGCAGCUUAACUGCAAAAUUGCUUUUGAUACUGUGUUGCUUGAAUCACGUUGAGGCUGGCGGAAUGUGGCAUGUAGCGGUGAAAUGCUUAGAUAUGCCAUAGAACACCAAUUGCGAAGGCAGCUGGCUAGACGUGUAUUGACGCUGAGGCACGAAAGCGUGGGGAGCGAACAGGAUUAGAUACCCUGGUAGUCC
rnacentral:rRNA from 1 species